rnacentral:rRNA from 1 species
UACGUAGGGGGCAAGCGUUUGUCCGGAAUCAUUUGGGCGUAAAGAGCGUGUAGGCGGCCUGAUAAGUCGGUUUUGUGAAAGUCAAGGGCUCAACCCUUGAAUGCCGGCCGAUACUGUCAGGCUAGAGUCCGGAAGAGGCGAGUGGAAUUCCUGGUGUAGCGGUGAAAUGCGCAGAUAUCAGGAGGAACACCGAUGGCGAAGGCAGCUCGCUGGGACGGUACUGACGCUGAGACGCGAAAGCGUGGGGAGCGAACAGG